AGUAACGCGUGAGGAACCUGCCUUCCAGAGGGGGACAACAGUUGGAAACGACUGCUAAUACCGCAUGACACAUUUGAAUCGCAUGGUUUGAAUGUCAAAGAUUUAUCGCUGGAAGAUGGCCUCGCGUCUGAUUAGCUAGUUGGUAGGGUAACGGCCUACCAAGGCGACGAUCAGUAGCCGGACUGAGAGGUUGACCGGCCACAUUGGGACUGAGAUACGGCCCAGACUCCUACGGAAGGCAGCAG
rnacentral:rRNA from 1 species